GAACCUAUAAAUAUACAGCAAUCGUCAACAGCAAUGAUUCCACUGUGUGGAGAGGCUUUUCUGAGAAUACAAAUGGAUUUUGUGUCUGUUUGGAUAAAGAUCACCAACUUGGUCUGUUCAUGAUGUCAAAUGUUUCCUGAGCAACGUACAUUUAUGGAAGAAUUUAAUUCCUUGCAGAAAUCCCACUGCCCUACUUUGCUUCCAGUUGCUGUGGUUCACACAAUGGGUGCUGUGAUGGCAAUUACCACUGAUGUUGGGAAUCCAAGAUGACACUGAUCUUAUCCACUGUGGAGGACUUGUCUAGGUGUUAGCUGCUAUGGAGACACUUCAGCCUGCUGACAGAGAGAGUGAAGUUUACAUUGCUUGUGUGUCUGUGCCAUACAGAGAACUACUGUAUAUGAAGAGAACUGACAUCAAGAUCGCAAAGGCACCCUCCAGUUCUGUCGUCAAGGGAAUGCUUUCUUUUCUGGGAUGAAAUUAAGAAUCUGGCAGCUACUCGAUGUCUACCAAUCCAAGAAGAAACCCACAGAGGCACUCAGAUAAAAAGAAAGAGAUAGUGAGAUACUGAAACACACACUGAUACUGGAGAAGAAACCUCAGGGAGCUGGUGCUGAUCCUCCAACUUAGCCCCUAAACUAAGCCAAACAGGCCUGACUUGAUUGGUUGUGUCUGGAAUUGACUUGCAUCGAUUGCAGUGGGGUAAGUUCGAUUUACAAGAAGCUGUUGAAGGUCGUAGUCUUUUUCAAUGGAGGGCUGAGAAAUUGUAGGAAUUUGUUUCUGUUUCGCAACCCACAUUUGAUUAUCAUCACCUUAUUACACAAGAGUUAGUUCUUGAUCUCAAUCCUGAUUGGAUGAGAGGCGCUCCAAAAGUACUAAAGUCAGCAUCAAACGGAAGUAGCGACUGUCUUAUUUUCCCCAUCGUGACGUGUAUCUGAGUAAAACGGCUUCUGGAAUGAGAAAAAAAAGACUUGAAUUUGUCCACCGAGAACUAAUUGGAUUGUUGGAAAUUGGGUCAAGUUGCUAUUUGCUAUCUUUUCCCUUGCCCCGUCCUCGAGUCAUUCCUCGUGGCCAGAAGUAAAGAGAAAGAGAGAUCGUUUCGAGGACGGGAUGAGAUUAGGGCUGUCACAAUGGUGAAAUAAUCGUUUCAUCGCGAUUGUUUGACCUCAUUGCAAUGAUUUCAGAUCACCGCAAUGAUUGCACAUCUCUCUAAAAAACACAAGGGGGAGCUGCAGCGCCUGUAUAAACGAGACAAUAUCAGAAGGCGCUCCUUAAUUGACAGUGCAACGUGAUACAUUGCAAAGCCAUUAAAUACUAAUUAAAUUAAUUGAAUAAUAAGGUGUACUAAUAUGACCUUAGUAGGAUUUGCUACUAUUUAAUGCCUGUUCUGGUGUAGUCAGUUUAUUUUGACUGCAUUUUUAUUUUCUGUUAUUUUUUUAGACACGUUAUUGUGUUUAUUUCUAAUGGAAAAAAAAAGUUUUUGAAAGAGAUAUUUGUGCGAAAAACAAGCAAAUGUCAAAGCAAUAAAACAGACAAUUAAUCGUCAUAAUCGGCAAAGUCCUAAAACAGGCAAUUAAUCGUCAUAAAUGUCAGAACCGUCAGUCAAAUUUCUUAAUCGUGACAGCCCUAGAUGAGAUUAGCGUUUUGAUUAAAGAUUGAGGGUAUGAACAUUGAGAUGUAAUCGCUGUAUUUUUAUGUGUGUGUGUUGUUUGAUUGAUUUAUAGUUAUUUAUUUAUUAUUAUUUUCUUUUCUAUUUUUACUUGAUAAUAAUGAAAAAAUGUAUACAGUUUAUACUAAAAUAUGUGAAAAUAUUUGACAAAUAAAAAUGUUUGAAAAAAGAUUAUGAGGGCACAUAAAUAAAAAACAAUGAAGCUCACAGAUAAGUAAUUUGUAAAAAAAUUUAAAAUGAAAAAAAAUCAUUUUUUGUCUGACAAUGCUUUAUUAUCCUCUUUGCAGUUUAAAGUCUAUCAUUAUACCAAAUUAUUCAUUUAUUCAUUUAAAAUGAGCUAACCAUUUAUUAUUUUAAAUGUUUACACUAAUACAUUAAUGUUUUUAGACGAGAUUUCAUUAAAACCAAAAAGAACAUACUGUUCAAAUUGAUAAUUUACGUCAAAUAUCUCAUCUGACCCCAGCAAUGACGCGUGCAAUUAAAAAGAGUAGUCUGACCUCUUGCAGCCCUCCCAUUGCUUCUCAGGAGGGGGCAGUUGGAUCAAUCCUCAUGUUGAGCUCUGGG